AUUGAACGCUGGCGGCAGGCUUAACACAUGCAAGUCGAGCGGAGACUUCGGUCUUAGCGGCGAACGGGUGAGUAAUACCUAGGAAUCUGCCCAUUAGCGGGGGACAACGUUUCGAAAGGAACGCUAAUACCGCAUACGCCCUACGGGGAAAGCAGGGAUCUUUUGACCUUGCACUAAUGGAUGAGCCUAGGCCGGAUUAGCUAGUUGGUAGGGUAAAGGCCUACCAAGGCGACGAUCUGUAGCUGGUCUGAGAGGAUGACCAGCCACACUGGAACUGAGACACGGUCCAGACUCCUACGGGAGGCAGCAGUGGGGAAUAUUGGACAAUGGGCGCAAGCCUGAUCCAGCCAUGCCGCGUGUGUGAAGAAGGCC
rnacentral:rRNA from 1 species